UACAGAGGGUGCAAGCGUUAAUCGGAUUUACUGGGCGUAAAGCGUGCGUAGGCGGCUCGCUAAGUCGGUUGUGAAAUCCCUGGGCUUAACCUGGGAACUGCAGUCGAUACUGGCGGACUAGAGUACGGUAGAGGGUGGCGGAACUCCGGGUGUAGCGGUGAAAUGCGUAGAUAUCCGGAAGAACACCGAUGGCGAAGGCAACCACCUGGGCCUGUACUGACGCUGAGGCACGAAAGCGUGGGGAGCAAACAGG
rnacentral:rRNA from 1 species